rnacentral:rRNA from 1 species
CCUACGGGAGGCAGCAGUGAGGAAUAUUGGUCAAUGGACGAGAGUCUGAACCAGCCAAGUCGCGUGAAGGAUGACUGCCCUAUGGGUUGUAAACUUCUUUUAUAUGGGAGUAAAAUGUUCCACGUGUGGCAUUUUGUAUGUACCAUAUGAAUAAGGAUCGGCUAACUCCGUGCCAGCAGCCGCGGUAAUACGGAGGAUCCGAGCGUUAUCCGGAUUUAUUGGGUUUAAAGGGAGCGUAGGUGGUUUGUUAAGUCAGGUGUGAAAGUUUGCGGCUCAACUGUAAAAUUGCAGUUGAUACUGGCAGUCUAGAGUGCAGUAGAGGUGGGCGGAAUUCGUGGUGUAGCGGUGAAAUGCUUAGAGAUCACGAAGAACACCGAUUGCGAAGGCAGCUCACUGGACUGCAACUGACGCUGAGGCUCGAAAGUGUGGGUAGCAAACAGGAUUAGAUACCCUAGUAGUC